CCUGGACUCGCUCAGUGGGUUAAGGAUCCAGGGUUGCCGUGAGCUGUGGUGUAGGUCACAGAUGCCGCUUGUGUGGCCCUAAAAAGACAGGAAAGAAAGACCAACCCAUGUUUUGAAAUUUUAGAAUUUGCGUUUUCUCCAUCAAUUUAUUUUGCACUUGCGCAUUUUGUUUUUACUGAAGACUGGUUGUGCAUGUGUUGGUGAUUUAACAAGAAGGAAAUAUUGUUUUACGCCUUCUAGCAAAGAUUAAAAUAACUAGAUUUCACUUUAUAGAAAAAAGUGUUUUUAAAGAAAAUGGUUAAUUUCUCAUUGAAUUUCCAUGGGCAAGUUAUUGGAAUUCUGUAAGUCUCAGUUUCCUUAUCUGUAAAACAGAGAUAAGAAAACCUACUUUGCGGGGUUGCCAUGACAUGGGGAAGAUGAGAUAGCAAUCGCACAGGUGGGCAGGUGUAGGACUUGGGAUGGACGUGAACUGAGAGAAUUAAUCAAUGACAGAGUAAAUCACUGAAUGCUUUAUGAGAUCCUAUCAUGGAACUUCCAUAUAAUGCUAUAAAAUUGGCAGUAAUCUUGGUACUUUGGUAUCUGGCCCCCAAGAUGAAAGGUCGAUAUGACCUGUUUUCAUGUAAAAAUAGCUAGUUUGUUCUAAAAAGAUGUAAUUCUAAGGCAGAAGGAAUGGUUACAAAAAAACAGAUUUUUUUUUUUUUUUUUUUUUUUUUUUUUUUCCUGUUUAGGGCUGCAGCCACAGCAUAUGGAAAUUUCCAGGCUAGGGGUCGAAUCAGAGCUGCAGCUGCUAGCCAAUGCCCCAGCCACCACAACACCAGAUCCAAUCCACAUCCACGACCUAUGCUUCCUUGACCCACUGAGAAAGGCCAGGGGUGGAACUCGCAUCCUCAGUGGGAACAGUGGGAACGCCAUACAAAGAACCAGAUUUUAAUUUGUACAAAAACAAGAUAUCCUGGGGGAUUUUAUAUUUUUACGGUGCUGUAUAGUUCAUAAAAGACUUCAACGUGCCUCAUCUCUUUAGCGUUUCCAAAAUCACUGCCAGAGAAAAGGCUGGGAAGGGAUCAGUCACUCUGGCUUUACAAAUGGAGAAGUGAAGACUCCCAGAGAGGAAGGAACUCCUCGAUGGCCGAUAGAGGCUUGAAGUAGUCUCAGACCCAGCCUCUUGCACCCAGUUUUGUCUCUGUGGCAUAGGGGACUACAGUUAAAGCUGUUCAAAAGAAGAUCGAACCCUUUGGUGCUUAUUGGUGCAUUUUUCUAAAGUGCCUGCAAGCAUCUGAGUAAUAGUUAAACUAAUGUUUGUUUCCCUUUCAUGAUGACAGUAUAUGAGAUUUUACCAUCGGUACUUAAGGCUCAACAUGCGCUUAAACUCCAGACACACAAAGGGAUGAAGUGGAGGGGGGAGAGGGAGUCAAGUGGGCUAUUCUGCAGGCUGCCUCGGGCUUUCUUUCUGGAUGGACCGCUAACAAGCCUCUCCACUGCAUGGUUCUCUGGCUCAGUUGUACAUUUCAAUGAAGCCUGCCAACUCGCAGCUUUGUGCCUCCCAAAAUUCAACAGGGGAGCGGAUGGAUCUGGCCUGUUUGUGACAGAUUGUGACCCACUUUGAGGAAUCCCUGCUUCUGUUCAGACUCCCCAGGAAAUCUUCCAGCUCUUCCGGGCCAACUGGGCUCUGGGCAGACCUCAGGAAACACAGUCUAAAGCCUCUAGCCAGUCUAAAGCCUGUGCUGGGGAUCCCAUGAAGAAAGAACCUACGAGGCUCCUUGCCUCAAGGCAUACAUUCUUUUUUCCCCCUUUUCCUUUUUUGGCUGCUCUGGGGCAUAUGGAGUUCCUGAGCCAGGGAUCAGAUCUGACCUACACCGAAGCUGCCACAAUCCAGGAUCCUUUAACCCACUGUGCCGGGCUGAGGAUUGAACCUGCGAUAUUGAACCUGCAUCCUGGUGCUGCAGAGAUGCUGCCAAUCCCGUUGCGCCACAGCAGGAACUCCAAGGCGUACUUAUUUCUCCUAUUUGUGCUACCUAAACAACUGGAUCUGAGAAGGAACUGGUUCUCUAAUGCCUUUUCUUGCAGUGAGCUCCCAGCAUGGUUUCACGCUGCCCCUGGAAGCAGUGAGAAAGAAGCAUCAAACAGCCAGCCCGUGCUCCUCGGUGCCUGGGCACCCAGUGUUGCUCCCUCCCUCCCCCCACCUCACUGUGACAACCAAACACAUCUGCCCCCCCCCCCCCUGCCAUUUUGAAAUGCCCGUAUUGCCCUUACAUGAAAAUCACUGAAUUCGUUUGACCAGUAAUUUCCUUGGUAAUAGAUAUUUUGGCAGCAGACAUUUAGAAACAUCUUACCCAAUGACAGGGCAUCUGGCAGACUAUAAACCGCAGGAACAAUUUGUCCCAUGGCCUGUUCUCGUGUGACCCUCAAGCUAGGAAUGGCUUUCGUAUUUUUAAAGAGCUAGGAGGAGGAGGGCAGCCGUAGAGUCUGCAUUUGAUUCACAAAGUCCGUAUUUACUCUCCGGCCCUUUGCAGGGAAUGUUCACAACUCAACAAGCAAUGACCAGGUACCAAGCAUGCUGCCAGGCACCAGUGAUACCGUGAUGGAUAAGGCAUCGUUGUCGAUCUGUGUGGGAGACAAUCCAUGCGCCUUCCUCGCAGGUGCAGUGGGGUCAUACACAUGUUGCUAGGGAAGCACAAAUGAGGGUCGCUCCGGUCAGCCUUGGGGACUUAGAGCAUGCAGAUAGGAGAGCUUCUGGGGAAGGGGGGUGCAGUUAAAGUGAAUCUGGAAAGAGAAGAAGCCAGGAGAAAUUGGGUGGAGGGUGGUGAGGCAGGAAAAGAGCCUAGAGAGAGUCAGAAGGGUGCAAAGCUGUGAGUGCCUGCAAGGCAGCGAAUGCCAAAAGCUGAAGCGGGAGGGGCAACUAGAUGCUUGGGCUUUACCCGGGUUCAGAUCCUGGCUCUGUCACUUAGGAGCUGUGCAGCUUUAAGUAAAGUACUUAACUUUUCUGUGCCUCAACUCCCUCACCUGCGACAUGUGGUUAGGAAGAGUCCCUGUCCCAGAGGGUUGCUGAGAGCAUUAGGUGAGACAGUACAUACAAAGCAGGCAGCAGGGUGCCAGCCCAUGACGAACCCUUGCAAAUGGCGCCAAUCAUUGUUGCUGCCAGGGUCAUGGCUCUUAUGCCCUCAGGGAGAGGAAGGCAUGGAGAAGCUGUGAGCACCUCCUAUGCACCUGCCUCCACAUGCAGCACCAGGAAUACAAUGCUUUUAUGUGUCUUGUGACGCCUGUAUGAGACCUCGACCUUGCAGAAAUCCAAGCAAAAAGGGUUGUGACUGUGGCGUUCCCUGGUGCCAGUUGCAGUGUUCAGGGAAUGCUAACGGUCUAUCCAUCCUUUGCUGAAGGUGCCUAGGAUGGGCUAUAGGCACGAGAUACAUCCAAGAUACACAGAUGGGCUACAGGCACGAGGGUGUACAUCCGAGAGCCCAGGAAGGUAGGAAAGUCAAAAGAAGGGCAGGAGAGUGCUUCCCUCUUUCUCCUAAAAGGAAAAUACCAAGUAUGCUUGAUGGGGGGGAGUCACGGCUCUUUGUCCUCCCAGACCCGCAUGUCAUCCUGGGCAGCUUUUCUUUGCCCCUAUAGUCAGCAACUCUCCGAAGUUUCUUUGGCCUCAUGGACUUUUUCUGUGGGUCUCUGCUUCUUCACACAAAGCAGAAAACCUCUCUCCCUGCAUGUCACUGAACCCAGAGCUUGGAUAAGAGAGGGGAGGCCCUCACCCCUGAGUUGUGCCCACCUGGCUUUCUGCAUCCAGAAGUGGAGUCCACAGUGCCACCCGGGCUUGUGCUGGACAGAGGGGACUCACGUCCGCCCUGCCUUGUGGAGCAUCCCUCUAGCUGCUCUGUGCAGGGGACCUUCUCCAACGUAAACAGAGGCUGCAGAAGAGGCAGGGAGGAAGUGCCAGUCUGCUCGCAGGCCCACAACCCCACCUCCUGCUGACAACGGAGUGAGCUGAGAGGGCGCCUCUCCUGGGCUGCCUUUCCAAGGCUUCUAAGCUGCUUGGUGACCUCCAUGGUCAGCAGCUUCCAGGUGCGGCUCAGCUACGUGGCAUGGGAUCUGCUGCGGGAGUUCUGAGGAUGCGGCGCUGAGGCUGAGGGUGGUGGUGCUGUGGGUGGAGGGUCCCCAGAAUGCCCUUGGCCCACGUUCUCCUGUCCCCACUGCGGGAGCCACCAAGGCUGGCAGCUGGGAGCCUCAGGGCCACCCUAGCACAGCUCCCCUCCGAGCAGGUUGGGCUCUGACUGUGCAAUCCUUCUGGCCCCUUUGAGAAGAAGGCAUUAUCUUUGAUAUUAUCAUACAAUAACAAGACAAUGUCCCUGUCCUCUGUGGCUUUCUGACCGAGCACUCUGCACUCUGGGAAGAAACAUGCUCUUUAUUUUCCCUCCGAAACAUCGAAGCUGACAGCACGGAGACAUGGGGCUGUGGUCAUUUUCAGACCAUUAACCUCUCCCCUCCCCGCCCUCCUCUCCUCAUCAGCCACCCUGUCACCUGCCCCUGGGCUUCUGGCCCUCCCACCCAUCUACCCACCUCUUUAGAGCCCUGGAAAUAUACAGCGCUACGAACUUUGCUCAGAUAUAUCCAUUUAGGAGUUCCCACUGUGGCUCAGUGGUAAUGAACCCCACUAUAGGAUAGGCCAGCAGCUACAGCUCCCAUUCAGCCUUUAGCCUGGGAACUUCCAUUAGCUGUGGGUGCAGCCCUAAAAAGACAAAAACACCCCAAAAAGUAUCCAUGUACUUCUUACAAUAGCCCUAAGAGAUAGGUAUUGUUCUCAUUUCACAGGUGAGAAAACUGAGGCCCAGAGAGGUUAAGGAACUUGCCUGGGGACACACAGUCUGUGAUAGAGGACAGAUUCGAGCCCAGGCUGUCUGACUCCAUUGUUGGUGCUUUUAGCCCCGCGCUAUUCAGCCUCCGGUUCUGGUGCUCUUUCUCUGCGGAUCUUCAUAGAGAAUAAGCCACCACGUGAUACGUGGCAUCCAGGCCAGUGGACACUCUGAAGCCGAGAAGCAUGUGGAUCAGCGCCGACCACCAUCCAUGUGAGAAGAGGAGCCCCCGGGGAGGCUUGAGCCCAUCCAGGUGGACAAAGCUCUCCUUUCUCCCAGGGAUGUUUCCUGGUUGUUGCCAGAGCUUCUCAGGUAACCCCAGUUUGAGUGUCUGAAAUCCCUGUGGGAAGCCCAGCACCUCCAGAGCAAUACCUGGGAUUCUCAGAGCGUCCUAGAACCAGCCUUGGUUUGAGCAGCCGAGCUUUCAGACAUCCAGUUACUGGACACCCGGCCUCUGGGGCCAGCGGUGGGCCACCGGACCUCUCCCCAGGAACACCUAGUGGACACAUCUUGGAGCCUGUCACGGGGUACCUGUGGGCCUGGGUCUGUCUGUAGAAACGGACAAAAUUAUAUCUCACAAGGGUGCGCU
rnacentral:lncRNA from 1 species